rnacentral:rRNA from 1 species
UGGGAAUAUUGGACAAUGGGCGCAAGCCUGAUCCAGCCAUGCCGCGUGAGUGAAGAAGGCCUUCGGGUUGUAAAGCUCUUUUGUCCGGAAAGGAAAUCCUGUCGGCUAAUACCCGGCGGGGAUGACGGUACCGGAAAGAAUAAGCACCGGCUAACUUCGUGCCAGCAGCCGCGGUAAUACGAAGGGUGCAAGCGUUACUCGGAAUUACUGGGCGUAAAAGCGUGCGUAGGUGGUUCGUUAAAGUCUGAUGUGAAAGGUCCUGGGCUCAACCUGGGAACUGCAUUGGAUACUGGCGAUCUGGAGUGCGGUAGAGGGUAGCGGAAUUCCCCGGUGUAGCAGUGAAAUGCGUAGAUAUNGGGAGGAACAUCCGUGGCGAAGGCGGCUACCUGGACCAGCACUGACACUGA